rnacentral:rRNA from 1 species
CCUACGGGCGGCUGCAGUAGGGAAUUUUGCGCAAUGGGCGAAAGCCUGACGCAGCAACGCCGCGUGAGGGAUGACGGCCUUCGGGUUGUAAACCUCUGUUGAGUGGGAAAAAAGGGUAGCAAUACUUUGAUGGUACCAUUCGAGUAAGCACCGGCUAACUACGUGCCAGCAGCCGCGGUAAUACGUAGGGUGCGAGCGUUGUUCGGAAUCACUGGGCGUAAAGGGAGCGUAGGCGGGAUCGUAAGUUAGGAGUUUAAUGCAUGGGCUUAACCCAUGACCUGCUUUUAAUACUGCGAUUCUUGAGUAUGGGAGAGGGCGAUGGAAUUCCAGGUGUAGCGGUGGAAUGCGUAGAUAUCUGGAAGAACACCAGUAGCGAAGGCGGUCGCCUGGCCUAAUACUGACGCUGAGGCUCGAAAGCUAGGGGAGCAAACAGGAUUAGAUACCCUUGUAGUC